AUACGGAGGGGGUUAGCGUUGUUCGGAAUUACUGGGCGUAAAGCGCACGUAGGCGGACUGGAAAGUUGGGGGUGAAAUCCCGGGGCUCAACCUCGGAACUGCCUCCAAAACUUCCAAUCUAGAGAUCGAGAGAGGUGAGUGGAAUUCCAAGUGUAGAGGUGAAAUUCGUAGAUAUUUGGAGGAACACCAGUGGCGAAGGCGGCUCACUGGCUCGAUACUGACGCUGAGGUGCGAAAGCGUGGGGAGCAAACAGGAUUAGAUACCCUAGUAGUCC
rnacentral:rRNA from 1 species